rnacentral:rRNA from 1 species
CGGACGGGUGAGUAACGCGUGGAUAACCUGCCGUAUACGAGGGGANUAACACUUAGAAAUAGGUGCUAAUACCGCAUAAGCGCACGGUUCCGCAUGGAACAGUGUGAAAAACUCCGGUGGUAUACGAUGGAUCCGCGUCUGAUUAGCCAGUUGGCGGGGUAACGGCCCACCAAAGCGACGAUCAGUAGCCGGCCUGAGAGGGUGAACGGCCACAUUGGGACUGAGACACGGCCCAAACUCCUACGGAAGGCAGCAG